UCCGGUUUGUCACCGGCAGUCCCAUUAGAGUCCCCAGCAUGACCUGUUGGCAACUAAUGAUAGGGGUUGCGCUCGUUACGGGACUUAACCCAACACCUCACGGCACGAGCUGACGACAGCCAUGCAGCACCUAGUUUCGUGCAAUUGCUUGCUGCCAUGUUUCUACGGCAUUCACUAACUUUCAAGCCCAGGUAAGGUUCCUCGCGUAUCAUCGAAUUAAACCACAUGCUCCUCCGCUUGUGCGGGCCCCCGUCAAUUCCUUUGAGUUUCAGCCUUGCGGCCGUACUUCCCAGGUGGAUCACUUAAUGCUUUCGCUCAGACGCGUACAGUGUAUCGCACACAUCGAGUGAUCAUAGUUUAGGGCGUGGACUAC
rnacentral:misc_RNA from 1 species